UCGUAGAUUGUAACUCUUUCUCGGGACGAAAAGCAUGGCCUUGACUGUACUGAGGAAUAGCCGGCUAACUACGUGCAGCAGCGCGGUAAUACGUAGGGGGCAACGUGUCGGAUUUACUGGGUGUAAAGGGCGCGCAGGCGGACUUGUAAGUCAGAGGUGAAAUCUACGGCUCAACCGUAGAACUGCCUUUGAUACUGCGAGUCUUGAAUUUGGAAGAGAGAGAUGGAAUUCCAGGUGUAGUAGUGAAAUACGUAGAUAUCUGGAAGAACACCAGAGGCGAAGGCGGUCUCUUGGUCCAUAAUUGACGCUGAGGCGCGAAAGCGUGGGGAGCGAACAGGAUUAGAUACCCUGGUAGUCCACGCCGUAAACGAUGAACACUAGAUGUCGGGAGCUUAAGUUCUCGGUGUCGCAGCUAACGCACUAAGUGUUCCACCUGGGGAGUACGAUCGCAAGGUUGAAACUCAAAGGAAUUGACGGGGGCCCGCACAAGCAGUGGAGCAUGUGGUUUAAUUCGAUGCAACGCGAAGAACCUUACCCAGGCUUGAAAUGCAGGUGACCGGGUAUGAAAGUACCCUUCUCUUCGGAGCAGCUGUACAGGUGCUGCAUGGCUGUCGUCAGCUCGUGCCGUGAGGUGUUGGGUUAAGUCCCGCAACGAGCGCAACCCUUACCAUUAGUUGCCAUCAGGUUAAGCUGGGCACUCUAAUGGGACUGCCUACGCAAGUAGUGAGGAAGGUGGGGAUGACGUCAAGUCAGCAUGGCCCUUACGCCUGGGGCCACACACGUGCUACAAUGGGUGCGACAAUGGGUAGCCAAGCCGCGAGGUGGAGCCAAUCCCAUAAACGCAUCCUCAGUUCGGAUUGGAGUCUGCAACUCGACUCCAUGAAGCCGGAAUUGCUAGUAAUCGCGCAUCAGCACGGCGCGGUGAAUACGUUCCCGGGCCUUGUACACACCGCCCGUCAAGCCAUGGAAGCCGGGGGCACCCGAAGUCGGUGACUCAACUCGCAAGAGAGAGAGCCGCCUAAGGUGAAACUGGUAACUGGGGCUAAGUCGUAACAAGGUAGCCGUA
rnacentral:rRNA from 1 species